rnacentral:misc_RNA from 1 species
GAUGAAGAACGUAGCGAAAUGCGAUAAGUAGUGUGAAUUGCAGAAGUACCGUGAAUCAUCGAAUCUUUGAACGCAAAUUGCACUCUCUGGUAUUCCGGGGAGUAUGCCUGUUUGAGGGUCGCUUAACAAACCAUCGAUUUCGUUGCUUUUUUUUUUUUAAAAAAGUGAUGUUUAUCGGAUUUGAGCCGUCUUUUUUUUUAUAUUUAAGUGGCUUAAAAUUGAUUUUUUUGGUACGAUCGAAGCGUAUUUUUAUGAUCAAUUUUUGGUUAAAGAAACGCACACGUACCGUUAUUUAUAUGAUGUAAUACGUUUGACUAUUGGAUUUAGUUCAUUCGUAUACGAUAUUUUUCAAUAUUUGACCUCAAAUCAGGUAAGAACACCCGCUGAACUUAAGCAUAUCAAUAAGCGGAGGA